GGACCGGCCGGUGCUCGAGGUCAGAGGGGUUGCCGUUAUACCACCGGCCCCUUCGGGCAGAACGAUUUUGCGGCGUCCGGGCGACGUCGUCCAGCCGUCACUUUGGCCUCUGAUCACCCAGGCAGAACAUUUCUGAAAUUAAAGAAGCUCAUGAAGAGUUUAUCAGAAACAUAACUCUCCCACGGCACAAGUUAAGGCUCCUUGGGGACUUCUCCAGUCAAGAAUGACCCCAGUAAUGGUGGGGGCUGUGUCCUUGGCCCCCCCCCCCCCCCCCCCGCCUGAUCCAGUCCCAUAGACCGGAGUCUGGGGAACCUCCCAGAGGGGAGGUUGAGCAGCUGGCCUGCCCCAGAGAAGAGUUUCGAGCAGGAGAGUGAAGAGAGGAGCCAGGAAGGUGACCAGAGUGACCAGAACUGCCAGCCAGGUCUCCGCUGACAUGUCGCCCUUUCCCGGAAGUCAGCCUCAGUGAUGCGAGGCAAGACAGAUGUAAAGCUCUUUGAGGAAGAACCACCCUGUGUCCCUUGGACUCACAGCACCAAGGGACACCGAGCACCGAGGGACUCGGGAUGACGUGGGGAUCGGUGACUGUAUACAGCUAUGGACGCAGACAGAUGGAUUUGUGGCUCAGGGUCAUCACGCAUGGAGACACGCUUACCCCAGCCUGAAGACAUGACCUGCCUUCUCGGGGAUAGUUGUCGGCCAUUCUCUUCCGAGUCACACAGGAAGAAGGUGAUCUCAUCUUUAUUGCCACUCUUCCCCGACCCCGACCUGAAAGCAGGAUUAGCCCUGAUGUCCAUAAGGUGGCAGAGGCCCUUGGCUCUGUCUGGGAGGCAUUGCUGGCUGUCAUGUGUUGUGCUAACCUUGGGAGUGACCUUGAUUGGGGAGGCAGGGAACAAGCAAGAAAUUAGUAUGUUGGAGAGCUGGCCAGUUUCCCGGUUAAGGAGGGCUGGCUCAGGGUCCACCCCCAAGAUGAACUUGGAGCUCUUUGAGAGCAAGACCUAUGUCUGAAGCAUCUCUGUAUUCAUAGUGCCUCAAUUAACACCUGGCACGUAGCAGGUGUUCAUCCAACACUGGGCGCUCCUGUAGUUGCCAGCAACCAGAGUUACCAGCAAGGAGGUAACAGGAAAACAGAUGUUAACGACUGUACUGAAAGGCCCCACCUGUGCUGACCACCACAAAGGCAUCAUCCUUUGCUAUAGAGCAGAGUUCUGGGUCCCAAGCACAAAAUCCAGGAACAUCUCUUGUCUUUUGUUAACUGCAAAAUCUCUAUCUCCCCUACAAAAAAAAAAAAAACACAGGGACAGACUCUGUGUAUAUAUCCAUGGAUUUAUAUAGCCAUGGCGUGCUCUUCUAAAUGUCUUUAAAAUCUAUUAAGUUAGAAAUGUUGGAGGUGGUGAUGAUAAGAGCUAGUCCCUAGAUGUGGCAUUGCCCAUCAGAACUGCGUUUCCUAGAAAGCCAAGGCUGCUUCUGAACAGCUGAACCUUGAACCCAGUAAAGCCUUGAACCCGGUGAAAGGAUGAGUAGAUCGUGGAGCGUUAAGGAGAAAAAGGGAGGGUCCUUGCCAGCCGCCUCUUUGCCUGCUUACCAGAGGCUCGCAAGCUCACAUGGCGGUCUCUGGGCAGGAGGACAGCUGGUCACUGGGUUUCUGUGCUCCUGUCCUGGGAGUUUAGAGCUGGAACGUCACUUACAGUGGAUCUUCAGAUACCCUCUCAGAUCACUCCUCGAAGGGCUUAUCCCAGGAACAAAUCAAAUAGGAAGUGAUAGAAACAGGCAGAGGAGUUUGAAAUGGCUAAACCAGGGAAGGCUGUUGGGGGAGAGGGGAUUGGAGGGACAGGGACUGUAAGCUCAGCGAGGUUAGAGACUCUUUAACUCCUGGGGGGCUGGGUGAAGGCUGUUCCAAAGGCCUCUAGGAAAUCGUUCAAGAAACUAGAAGGAAAGCUGUCAAGUGCUUCAUGGGGUGCAAAGUCACCCCCCCAGCCCCACUCACCACCGUGGGGGGCCCCAGUGGAGCUCCCCAUCAGAACCGCCACGCCACGCCAGCUCUUUCAAUGGGCGCCGUCCAGUGGGCUCUCCCCUGGGGCUUGGCCCCACCUGAGCGUGUGAUAGGCUCUGAUGACAACAGUCACUCACAUGCAUUUAGUGCCUCACACACAGGGUCUCAUUUAAUCCUCCCAACAACGCUUGAAAUGGAAUGUUUCUAUCCUCACGUUAAAAAUGAAGAAACUAAGACCUGGAGAGGUGCAAUAACUUUCCCAAGGUCAUGCAACUAAGAAGUAGAGGAGCGAGGCUUAGAAUCCAGUCUUGCACGAAUGUUCUCAUUUUCGCGUUGUGGGAUUUUUCAUUCCCUUUGCUGGAAUCACCAGUCUGUUUUCUGUCCCUGUUACGUGGUCCUGCUUCUCCCGUCUCUUCUGUGGCCUGCCAAAGCCACAAAAUGGUUUCUAAGUUCCAAGUCCAGUGGGUACCAGAUGCUGCCAGGCCCUAUUAAAGCCAUGUUCAUGAGAGAGCCCGGCUUCCUACUAGCAGUCCCUGGAAUCUCUCCUGUGGGAAUUCGGGGGAUAUUCCGAGUCAGGGCAGACUUAAGAAACUGAUUAUGCUGUUCAUUCUGUAAGUCAAGUAACAGGCCCUCAGAGUGAGUGACCUGAACAGCUGGAGCCAGCUGGGCAGGUUCAGCUGCAGCCACAGGUCAAGGGCCUUGGUUCAUCUGCCAGCCGGAUUCCUCUCUUCUCCACUUGGCAUCCACUGAAAAGGGACUGAAAUGUGCAAAAUGGCCUUUUCCCUCCUGUGUCCACCUGGCGUCUCUCUAGUAGACUGGCCUAAUUUCCUCAUCUUGUUGCCCUGGGCUCCAGGAGCCACCUCCCACACCCUCUGUCCUGCCCCACUCCCAUACCCAUCUCCUUCAGUCCAGCUGGCUGUGUUGUAUCACAUGACUCUGCCUCUGUCCUCCUCACACCACACACACACACACACACACUCACACACUCAGGCAGGUCAAUGAGCCAGGAUCUGUGUACACUGGUCAACAACUUGUGAAGUCCCCUGACUCAGGGAAUGUUUGGAAAGCCAGUCAGGCCAGGCAGAUUCCUCUUUUAGGAAAUUUGAACCUCCAAAUCAGGCUGCAUGGGCAGUGUGUGACAGGAGGUCAUGAGGGCAAGUAGGGCCAGGUGCUGGCCGGAAGUACACUGAGAUGGAAGCUUGGAGAUUGAAGAAAGGCAAAACAAUACUUAUCAUUGGGGGAUUAAUGAGCCUCUUUGGGAAGAAGAUAAAGGAUGUCGAGAUUAGAGGCAGAACUCCAGGAAAGGCAGAGAGAGGAGCCAGUCCUAGAGCCUCCCCAAGGCUCGCCAGGCCUGCCUCACCCAUGUGAGGCAGCAGGCUCCUUACUUAGUCCCUCUGCUGUCUGUUGGCUCAGAAUUGGGCAUGUGACAGUUCUGCCAACAUAACUUAUGGGGAAAUGGCUGGGGGACCUUCUGGGAAGAUUUUGUUUUCUGAUAAAAGGAGAAUGAAGAGGCCCAUCUCUUCCUCCUGCUUUGAACAGGGAUGUUUGAGAUGUGAUAUUUGGAGCUGUGGCAGCCAUUUUGAGACCAGGUGGCAACGAAACUAAGGGAGAAAGCCAACAUAGCAAGGUUGGCCGAGUAGACAGACAAAGCCUAGGUCCUCGAUGAUACCGUUGAGCCACCAUACCUAUCCGGGAACCGCCUACUUCCAGUCUUACUGAUCUUUAAAUUGAACCGUCUUUAUUUUCUAAGCACAUUUCUGCUAUUUUCAGCCUAAAAGGCAUUCUUAGCCAGUCAAUACAACACUCCUCCGAACUUCCCAGUCAUCAACUCCUUAGAGCCCCCACGGCUCUUGGUACAGCUCCAAAUGGAAAAUCAGCCCAAUUUAGACACUGGAAACCUUAAUUGUAUGGUAGGAAAUACAGGUCAAGAUUGGUCAUAGCCCACACAGGCAAGCAGCUUGUACACUUAGUUCCGAUUCCUGGAGCCUACCGGGCACUGAUGAGGAAAGAAAGAUUCAGGACAGUUCCAGAUGCAUGAGCCUGGGUCUUCUAAAUUGGGGCUCCAUGAGGAACUUUAGAACAAAUCAGCGUGGAAUCG
ensembl:lncRNA